rnacentral:rRNA from 1 species
GAUGAACGCUGGCGGCGUGCCUAAUACAUGCAAGUCGAGCGAACAGACGAGGAGCUUGCUCCUCUGACGUUAGCGGCGGACGGGUGAGUAACACGUGGAUAACCUACCUAUAAGACUGGGAUAACUUCGGGAAACCGGAGCUAAUACCGGAUAAUAUAUUGAACCGCAUGGUUCAAUAGUGAAAGACGGUUUUGCUGUCACUUAUAGAUGGAUCCGCGCCGCAUUAGCUAGUUGGUAAGGUAACGGCUUACCAAGGCAACGAUGCGUAGCCGACCUGAGAGGGUGAUCGGCCACACUGGAACUGAGACACGGUCCAGACUCCUACGGGAGGCAGCAGUAGGGAAUCUUCCGCAAUGGGCGAAAGCAUGACGGAGCAACGCCGCGUGAGUGAUGAAGGUCUUCGGAUCGUAAAACUCUGUUAUUAGGGAAGAACAAAUGUGUAAGUAACGAUGCACGUCUUGACGGUACCUAAUCAGAAAGCCACGGCUAACUACGU